UCAGUUACUUGCUUUUUUCCAGUUUUCACAUUCACAACUGUCGACAGUUCCUUGCAUGCCAAAGGCUCACUUAUAGAAACAAAUGCCGUCCUCGAAUCAGCCCUCCUUGACAGUUAACUUUAUCACAUCACAAUUCAUGAAAUGAGCAGCUGUGAACACAAUUUUGUCAGCACCAAUUGGAAACAUAACGCACACCAUCGGCUGCUGAUUGAGUGAUAUUACUUCCUUCUUCACAGAUCUACAAAUCUUCUACUUUACACUAACCUAGCAAGACAAUGUUAUUAACACUCCAUCAUAAUUCAUACUGAACUAAUUAACAUACUGAACAGUGAGAUUUGAAUUCCAAUAAUUGGUAUCAUUGAAGUAUGACUAUAAAACAUUAUUCAACCUUGUAUAACCACUAAUUUGAAAGUGGAAGAGAGGGACCAGUUCUAAGCACAACAUGAUAAUAAUAUGUUCUCUUCCUUAUUUAUCCAUUCCUAUUUCACCGCAACCUAGA